rnacentral:rRNA from 1 species
AGGGAAUAUUGCGCAAUGGACGGAAGUCUGACGCAGCGACGCCGCGUGGAUGAUGAAGGCCUUCGGGUUGUAAAAUCCUUUUCAGGGGGAAGAGCGAGGACGGUACCCCUGGAAUAAGCGUCGGCUAACUACGUGCCAGCAGCCGCGGUAAGACGUAGGACGCGAGCGUUAUCCGGAUUUACUGGGCGUAAAGCGUCUGUAGGCGGAAGUGUAAGUUGGACGUGAAAGCUCCGGGCUCAACUCGGAGAGGCCGUUCAAUACUGCACAACUAGAGGCCAUCAGAGGGGCGUGGAAUUUCCGGUGUAGCGGUAAAAUGCGCAGAUAUCGGAAGGAACACCAGUGGCGAAGGCGGCGCCCUGGGGUGGGCCUGACGCUAAGAGACGAAAGCUAGGGGAGCGAAC